AGUGAACGCUGGCGGUAGGCCUAACACAUGCAAGUCGAACGGCAGCACAGUAAGAGCUUGCUCUUACGGGUGGCGAGUGGCGGACGGGUGAGGAAUACAUCGGAAUCUACUUUUUCGUGGGGGAUAACGUAGGGAAACUUACGCUAAUACCGCAUACGACCUACGGGUGAAAGCAGGGGAUCUUCGGACCUUGUGCGAUUGAAUGAGCCGAUGUCGGAUUAGCUAGUUGGCGGGGUAAAGGCCCACCAAGGCGACGAUCCGCAGCUGGUCUGAGAGGAUGAUCGUCCACACUGGAACUGAGACACGGUCCAGACUCCUACGGGAGGCAGCAGUGGGGAAUAUUGGACAAUGGGCGCAAGCCUGAUCCAGCCAUACCGCGUGGGUGAAGAAGGCCUUCGGGUUGUAAAGCCCUUUUGUUGGGAAAGAAAAGCAGCAGGUUAAUACCCCGCUGUUCUGACGGUACCCAAAGAAUAAGCACCGGCUAACUUCGUG
rnacentral:rRNA from 1 species